rnacentral:rRNA from 1 species
CCUACGGGAGGCAGCAGUAAGGAAUAUUGGUCAAUGGACGAAAGUCUGAACCAGCCAUGCCGCGUGGAGGAUGAAGGUCCUCUGGAUUGUAAACUUCUUUUAUAUGGGACGAAAAAAGGCUUUUCUAAGUCGUCUGACGGUACCAUAUGAAUAAGCACCGGCUAACUCCGUGCCAGCAGCCGCGGUAAUACGGAGGGUGCAAGCGUUAUCCGGAUUCACUGGGUUUAAAGGGUGCGUAGGUGGGUUGGUAAGUCAGUGGUGAAAUCCCCGAGCUUAACUUGGGAACUGCCAUUGAUACUAUCAGUCUUGAAUACCGUGGAGGUCAGCGGAAUAUGUCAUGUAGCGGUGAAAUGCUUAGAUAUGACAUAGAACACCAAUUGCGAAGGCAGCUGGCUACUCGAAUAUUGACACUGAGGCACGAAAGCGUGGGGAUCAAACAGGAUUAGAUACCCUGGUAGUCCACGCCCUAAACUAUGGAUACUCGACAUUUGCGAUAAACUGUAAGUGUCUGAGCGAAAGCAUUAAGUAUCCCACCUGGGAAAGUACGACCGCAAGGUUGAAACUCAAAUGAAUUGACGG